AGGUCAUGUUGCUCUGAGGUUGAUCCUGAAGCAGUAGGCCUGGAGCCACAGGCUAACGAGGGGAGCACCUGGCACCCCGUAUAGACUGUGCUCAGAUGGAGCUGCUCUGUUGCCAAAAAGUUCAGAGCGCUACAUCCUGCCGCCCCAGUGAAAGAGCCAGUCUUCAAACAGAUGCCGAACAAAGAACCAUACAGGACUGUUCGUGAGCGUGCUUCCAGCACACGAGUAAAGACAACACUCCGUAUCCUUCUCUUGCUCCUAGCUUCUCAAAUCUGGCAGUGCCACCUUCAUUUAUGUGUUAGAAUUAAUAAACAUUCCCAGUUUCUUUCUUUCUUUUUUUUUUUUUUUCUGGUCAGACUCUCACAGUUGGUCAGAAGGGACACACAUGCACUCCCACUCCCCCAUCAUCAUUCCCCUGCGCUUCACCCGCCGGCAACAACAAAAUAAUGAUUUCCAGAUGUUAGGACACAGCACACUCCACCAAACCUUGGAAGCCAGUGCCCCUCUCUUGGUGUUAAUGGUGCCCAAGAGGCCUUUGAAGUGAGGGAGGGGGGGUCUCCAGGACCUUUUAAACUCCACUGAGAAAGCGGGGGAUACUUUCCCGUUCACGGGGUAAUCGCUAAUGUAUUUUUAUUGAUCAGUGGAGUUUCGAAUGCUUUCAGGACGGGUGUGGUUAACAAGACAAACCGGACAAAAGUCCUCUACAGCUGUGCAGGUGAUUGGUGGCGGUAAAUACGAUCAGGUUUCAUCCUUUACUUGGGCCUUUAAGUGUUCUGUGUCAGCUGCCCCUCAUCAAAAAUAUUACAGUUUUGCCCUUUUCUUGGUUCAACUCGUAAAAAACUACGGCCAAACUUUAAAGUUUGAGUGCUCCUCCAUAUUUUCUACCCUUUCUCCAGAAUCUGUGUCACAGGCUAAGAUUUAUUUGUCCUCAAAUGUUCUGAGCGAAAAAUAAAUAAAUAUAUUUAAACUAUUAAGGCCCUUUUUUGCUUCUGGGCUCUAAAACUUCCCCAGACUCAGUGGACAGCAAGUGUCCCUAAAGGAAUGCUUUUAUAAAUGAUGUUGUAAAUCCAGCUCUGGAGCCCAUCCAGAUGUUUGAAACUUUUUUCUCAUCUGUUUACUGUCCCAUGCUAUGGAGCUUUUUUGUGAUGCUCCUUUUGACAAAAAGAAACUGCAACAGAGCAUUUCAAAACAAGGCUUUGAGGUGUUUCGGCUUGCAUGAUUUUCUUGCUCUGACAACAACCAAAGAUGGCACGAUGUGCUGGUUGAAGGUUAGACCCGCUGGGGCCGCGAUUCAGUCCCGACUGCAACCAAAAAGAGAAGCGAGUGAGCUGAAGGAGAAAAAAAAAAAA